AUGAGAAUGAUGUUUACUUUUGGAGACUUUAUGAAGCGGGAGUUUUCAAUUAAAUCUAUUUUCAGUUAACGAUAACGAUUUUCACAUUUUACAACUCAACCUAAGCAGCAUGGGUAUCCAUGCGAGGUAUUACCCAAGUGAUUGCACGGCUACUUGGGGAAACCAAACAUAUAAAAGUACAGGAGAACCUAGCAACCAAGGUAUCGACCCAGGUACAGAUAGGGAACAUCUCCUUCACAACAACAGAAAUGACAAAAUGGGAGAUAUAAUUCACGAGAUCAACCAACUAAGACAAGAAAAC